GUGUUGUAUGAAAGGAGAGAAGGUUAACACUCCUCUUGACAAGGAUGGGAGAAACUCUAGAGCCUGACAACAUGCAUACGGUUAAGGCAUUGCCACCUACUUCAUGGCAUCUAACCACUGUUCAUG
rnacentral:ncRNA from 1 species